rnacentral:rRNA from 1 species
UACGUAGGGUGCAAGCGUUAAUCGGAAUUACUGGGCGUAAAGCGUGCGCAGGCGUUUUGUAAGUCAGAUGUGAAAUCCCCGGGCUUAACCUGGGAACUGCGUUUGAAACUACAAGGCUAGAGUGUGGCAGAGGGGGGUGGAAUUCCACGUGUAGCAGUGAAAUGCGUAGAGAUGUGGAGGAACACCGAUGGCGAAGGCAGCCCCCUGGGUUAACACUGACGCUCAGGCACGAAAGCGUGGGGAGCAAACAGG